UACGGAAGGUCCGGGCGUUAUCCGGAUUCAUUGGGUUUAAAGGGAGCGCAGGCCGGCCCUUAAGCGUGCCGUGAAAUGCCGUGGCUCAACCAUGGCACUGCGGCGCGAACUGGGGGCCUUGAGUGCGCGGAAGGCAGGCGGAAUUCGUGGUGUAGCGGUGAAAUGCUUAGAUAUCACGAGGAACCCCGAUUGCGAAGGCAGCCUGCCGCAGCGCAACUGACGCUGAGGCUCGAAAGCGCGGGUAUCGAACAGG
rnacentral:rRNA from 1 species